rnacentral:rRNA from 1 species
GUGGGGAAUUUUGGACAAUGGGCGAAAGCCUGAUCCAGCAAUGCCGCGUGCAGGAUGAAGGCCCUCGGGUUGUAAACUGCUUUUGUACGGAACGAAAAGCUCUGGGCUAAUACCCCGGAGUCAUGACGGUACCGUAAGAAUAAGCACCGGCUAACUACGUGCCAGCAGCCGCGGUAAUACGUAGGGUGCAAGCGUUAAUCGGAAUUACUGGGCGUAAAGCGUGCGCAGGCGGUUUUGUAAGACAGUGGUGAAAUCCCCGGGCUCAACCUGGGAACUGCCAUUGUGACUGCAAAGCUAGAGUGCGGCAGAGGGGGAUGGAAUUCCGCGUGUAGCAGUGAAAUGCGUAGAGAUGCGGAGGAACACCGAUGGCGAAGGCAGCCUCCUGGGAUAACACUGACGCUCAGGCACGAAAGCGUGGGGAGCAAACAGGAUUAGAAACCCUGGUAGUCC